AUUACAUAUAUGUAAUGUAUAUAUUAACAAGUAAUAUAAUGAUUUUUUUUUUGUUAUAUAGUGAAAAAGGUAUUUUUAUUAAUAUUUACAUAGAUAUUUACAUUUGUUUUAUUAUUAUAGUGUUUAAAAAGUGCUAUAUGUAUUUUGCAUUGUGUACAACUGCAUAAGAUUGUUUCAUGUAGCAGUUAUUGUUCGUCAUUUAACUUCUGUGGAAAACUCUCUUGAGCAUGAUUUUUUCAAAAACUGUAAAGUAGCUACAUGUAUUUGUUUUUAUUUAUUAAACAGUCCCUAAACACUUGAUUAGGUGUAGUACAGCGAUGCAAGUACAGUAUAUAUGUGAUUCAGAAUUUUAAUUCUAAAAUGUACUUACAUAUACACAUACCUAUUAGAAUGUCAUAAAAAAGCUAGUGAUAGUUGCAUUGGCAAAUUCAGGGACUUUAUUGGGUGUAUCAAAUGUAAAGACAUGAAUGAUGUGAUGCCAUAUCAAACUGACGUUGUAUUUCUCUGACAUUUGAGAAAUGUAUUGCUCUGGUAACGGGUAAACGAGAUGUGUAUCUCUGUAAGAUAAAUGAUCUGCAAGAUAGAUAAAAUUAUUCUUUUGGAAACUGUGUAGUUGUACAUGUACAUGUAUGUGCUAGACAUGGUUUUAUCAAUAAUUAUUGUGUUUUGUUUUAAAUUAAAUUUUAUCAUGAAUUGGCUUGCUAUGCUCAUAUAAUUAUGUUUAGCUCACAUGUCAGCAAAAGAGCUUGAUGUAUUUUGGUAAAUCAAGAGUUUGAAUGAUAUAUAAAGAGAAUGCUUAUAUAAUUCAAUGUAUAAUUAUUAUGAAAUUACUUGCAAAUUAUAUUUGAUAUAUUCUUGAAAUGGAUUUGAGAGAGAAUAAACAUUCCUGAUU
rnacentral:misc_RNA from 1 species